AACUCCAGUCACCGGGACUGCCACUCCUGAAACAAUUACCGGGGUGUGGCAUUAGUUUUAUCGCUAAAGUAAAUAUUUACAUAAAGAAAAAAUAAAAGAAUAAUCAAUGUGUUGACAAUAAAAUACGUAAAUAAAAUGAUCACCUGAGAUGGAUCAGAUAUUAAGAUUAAGAUCAACACACAUAUUACCUUGGAUUUAUAUAUAUAUAUAUAUAUGUAUAUAUAUAGAGUGUUUAUACAAGUUAACAUCGUAAAUGUUUAAGUAUAACCGCAUUUUAUAUCAAGCUCAUCUCACUUUCCAUUGUACCUCAUUAAAAUAUAACAUCGCUAAUAAAAGAUUGAGGUUUUAUUGAUGUUUUGUAAAUAUUUAUAGAUGCAGUAAAUAAAAUAAAAUUAAACCAUCAACAUUUGAAGAGAUUAAGACGAAGAAAAAAAAAAAGUUUAUGGAAUAAGAAGUUUAUAUAAUAAAACAAGAUGAAGAAGAAGAAAUAAGUUGAGAGGAAAUGAAAGAUUAUUUGUUCUACAAAGAGAAACAUAAUAAUAGAAAUGUUUUUUAAAAAAUACGUGGAGAGUCUGGUGAACUGUGGAUAUUUAUAUAGAUGGCGGCAUCAGAGAGACGCGAUCGGUGGAGACGGCAAGGCUGGCGCUGCUAGAGCCAAGCUGUCUGCUGGAUACUCCUUAUGUAUAUAAUCUCCCCCGCUUGAUCUUUCUUUCUCUCGGCUAUCUCAUUCCCUCUACAUCAGAGACCGGGGAGUCCUCGUAUCGGUAGUCUGUGUCUACACUUCAUCUUCUGGUUCCUCACGUUGUUUGUACAUACGUCUCUUCAGGGUACAUAGGUGAAGAUAAGGAUGAAGAUGAAGAAAAUGAAGACACAUCCAUACAAACGAUUAGUCUACGAUAAUUUAGGACUAGACCGAGAAUUAAACUUGUGUGGUAUCAGAGACAUUGCUUCUACGACAAGGUCAACAAGUAAUAUGAUCAUGACGUAGGCAACGAUGACUUCUAUAUUUUAAACACCAGCUUCCGGAUAAGAUUUAUAUUGGUAGAUCACAUGUUUAAACCAGAUUAUCAUCUGGGACCAAGGUGAUGAAAGGAUUUGUGAAGAAGCAUUAGAUUGUCCGCUAAGAAGAAAUGGAUAGUCUGAUGAAAGAUUUUAGUUUUUAAAUAAUUAAUAUGAGUCGUAAAGAGCUAAUGUAACGCUGGGCUUAGUUCUCGCAUCAGCUUGAGGAAUGCGGUCCGCGUCGUGGAAUCUGCGCGCGAGCGCUAAAAGCAAGGAUACGGGGCCGCUGAGUGAGUCUGAUGGUGGCCGAUUGCCACGGUGGAACGCGCGGGAGCAUGUAUGUAUACAUACGUACACAUAUAUUCAGAUAUGUACACACACAAACGUCAUCGUUGAAAAUAAUCAAGACGAAUCUCGAAUCUGUUGGAGCUAUCAUAAAACUCUUUGGAAAAUCGAAGUCUGAGGAAGUCGGGGAACCGAUGAAACGUCGUGAUAAUUUAAAUAAACAUCAGAUAAAUAUUUCCAUCAAACUGUGAACUAUUAUUUACUAAUAAUGAUGAUGAUGAUUGGGAUUCAUGUAAAGGAUUUAAUAUUUUAUUGAUAAGUAAUUGAUAUAUUUUACCUAUAGCUAGCCGUGAGUCUGUAGUCCGUGCAGCCACGGCAUCUCAGCGUGUUCAUACACCGCGAGAAAUCUUUGGUUGGCCGCGGCCACUAGCACUUAUCACUGACACUAUCCACCAUUCACACACGUAUUAAUUAAUACAGUGGUAGCAGUAAUGUCCUGGACACUUUUGAGAAGACGAUGGACAAUGGAUGACAAUUAUCAAGAUCACUGUACACUGAGGGAGUAAAUUUACCAACGCAGUGAUGAAACAAUAAAUAUAAAUAAUAAUAAACACAAGUCACAUUAACGUCACAAUAAAAUCUCGAAGAUGAUAAAGAAGAAUCCACUUAGAUAGGAACUCAUCCGACACGGUUGAGGGGCGUCGUAUGACUACUGGUCGCUGCUCAGGAGCAAGCGCCAAGGAGCCUUCCUCGCGCUCUCCACGAUCACACCGUCCCCGCCGGUACGGACUGCCGUGCGCAAGAUGGAGAGCGAUAUAUUCCCCUACUGAAUCCUCUACGUGGUAUUAUAUUGAAGCUGAGACCAGAGAAGAAAACCCAAGAGCGUCGAUCUACUGAGUAAAGUACAUAACACGCGCCCAUUCGGACAGGGCCGCUGGCAAAGCCACUCGGGCCCCGAUCUCCAUCAGUCCCUUUUGUCGACAAUCGUCAAUCCCCUCUAUGAGAUCUUGAGAUCUGAUGCUGGGAUUUCUCGGCUCUUCCACCUGUCCAGAGUGUAACCAUGAAGCCCUCCUCCGGGCGUCCACCACCAUCGCUAUCUACCACCAAUACCAUCCACACCUCACCAUUACCAUCGUCUCGCUUUCUUUCUCCCCCACCUGGUGAUACUCCUGCUGAUACUCGAUACCAGAUAUUGGAAUGAUACCUGCAGUCUGGAGCAUCAUCUCCAGCCCAUUCACCAACUUUUUAUCUUUUCUUCUUUCAGGGAAGACAGUUGAUUCUAACUUCUGAAGGUAUAUAUUUACAAGUACUGGGUAUUUAAUUUCAGCUAAUAAAAUUUGUUUUAGUGCAAGCGUUUUUUGAUUAAAAAAAAA